UACGUAGGGUGCAAGCGUUGUCCGGAAUUAUUGGGCGUAAAGAGCUCGUAGGCGGCUUGUCACGUCGAUUGUGAAAGCCCGAGGCUUAACCUCGGGUCUGCAGUCGAUACGGGCUAGCUAGAGUGUGGUAGGGGAGAUCGAAUUCCUGGUGUAGCGGUGAAAUGCGCAGAUAUCUGGAGGAACACCGGUGGCGAAGGCGGCAUCCUGGACCGACACUGACACUGAGGAGCGAAAGCCAAGGGGAGCAA
rnacentral:rRNA from 1 species